GACGAACGCUGGCGGCGUGCUUAACACAUGCAAGUCGAACGGAAAGGCCCGGCUUUUGUUGGGUGCUGCGGGUGCUAACGGGUGGAUCACGCGUGAGACACGUGCCCGUUACGUCGGGAACACUGCAAUAAACUUGGGCUAAUAGCUGAUAUGAGCUCCAGCUGCAUGGUGGGGGUUGUAAAGUGUGGGCGGUUGGGCAUGGGGUUGGGGCUUAUCAGGUUGUUGGUGGGGUAGUGGGUCACCAAGGCGUUGACGGGGAGCCGGCCUGAGAGGGUGACCGGACAUAUUGGGACUGAGACAACGCCCAGAAGCCGACGGGAGGCAGAAGUGAGGAAUAGUGCACAAUGGGCGGAACGCUGAUGCAGCAACGCCGGGUGCGGGAUGAUGGCCUUCGGGUGGCAAACCGCUUUCGCCUGGGAUGAAGGGUGAGUGACGGUAAUGGGUAAAGAAGCACCGGCUAACUACGUG
rnacentral:rRNA from 1 species